AACGCACCUUGCGCUCCUUGGUAUUCCGAGGAGCAUGCCUGUUUGAGUGUCAUUAAAUUCUCAACCUCUUCACUUUGUUUACCAAUUUGAAUUGGCUUGGAUUAUGGGAGUUGCGGGCUUCUAAGUAAGUCAGCUCUUCUUAAAUGCAUUAGCAGAACUUUUGGUUGACUAUCAUUGGUGUGAUAAUUAUCUACGCCACUUGAUAUGAAAUAUAUACAGUUCCGCUUCCUAACUGUCUAUUGACUUGGACAAUUUAUCUGACUAUUUGACCUCAAAUCAGGUAGGACUACCCGCUGAACUUAA
rnacentral:misc_RNA from 1 species